CACGUAGGGGGCAAGCGUUGUCCGGAUUUAUUGGGCGUAAAGAGCUCGUAGGCGGCUUAGUAAGUCGGGUGUGAAACCUCCAGGCUCAACCUGGAGACGCCACCCGAUACUGCUAUAGCUAGAGUCCGGUAGGGGAGCGUGGAAUUCCUGGUGUAGCGGUGAAAUGCGCAGAUAUCAGGAGGAACACCAGCGGCGAAGGCGGCGCUCUGGGCCGGUACUGACGCUGAGGAGCGAAAGCGUGGGGAGCAAACAGG
rnacentral:rRNA from 1 species